rnacentral:ncRNA from 1 species
CGGGCGUAUUACUCCACAAAAAUAAUACGUCGCGAGGAAAAAGGAGGGAAAAAUACCGUGGCCUGCGGUGCGGCAGUGUGGAGACCUGUCGUAUAUGCGGAUGGAAUGAUCCGUGAGGUUACAGCAUGCGGAGGCACUGUAACUAAGGCAAGAAAGGAUGGCA